CUCUCACCCACUGCUGAUUUUCAAAUCCAGGUCUCCCCGAGAGACUCCUGCAAUGCUUCCUGUGCAUUCUCUUGCAGCCUCAAUGUGCUGUGAGGAUAAGAGGCUGCCACAGGUUGAACCAUGGGAGUUAAGGCACUUGACACAACUUACAUACACAAUGACGGGCAGAUGAACGAAGCUGGGAUCUCUGAUACUGCUGUGAGAAAACAGAUAGCUUCAGUUUCUUUCUUCCUGGGAUCUAAUCAAAUAACUAAAUUCUUCAGGAAUCUUCUCACAGAGUCAUGCAUGUGCUUGGGUCACACUGAUCCCAGUGGGCUGUAGCUUCCCUGCAAGAGGACGUUGGUUCUCACCACCAUAAGGAACGAGACUCCAUUUCCAUCUAUCUAUAUAACAAAAGGUUACUUUGGCUUCUGAGUGGGUACGUUAACAGCAUGAAUGUGUUUGUACGCUCACCAGGAGAUCUGUCACGAAUUAAAGUAUGGCUGGUAUUCUUCAUAAUUACUCUCAUGUAAAUUUCACAUUUGUAAAGCAGCCAUUUCUAUUCCAUUAUUUCCCUUUUUAUUGUGUGUCAUUUUUUU
ensembl:lncRNA